rnacentral:tRNA from 7 species
GGGCGAUUAGCUCAGUUGGUAGAGCAUCUCCCUUACAAGGAGGAGGUCACUGGUUCGAACCCGGUAUCGCCCACCA